rnacentral:rRNA from 1 species
UACGUAGGGUGCGAGCGUUGUCCGGAAUUAUUGGGCGUAAAGAGCUUGUAGGCGGUUUGUCGCGUCUGCCGUGAAAGUCCGGGGCUCAACUCCGGAUCUGCGGUGGGUACGGGCAGACUAGAGUGAUGUAGGGGAGACUGGAAUUCCUGGUGUAGCGGUGAAAUGCGCAGAUAUCAGGAGGAACACCGGUGGCGAAGGCGGGACGCUGGGCCGAUACUGACGCUGAGGAGCGAAAGCGUGGGGAGCAAACAGG